rnacentral:rRNA from 1 species
UACGAAGGGGGCUAGCGUUGUUCGGAAUUACUGGGCGUAAAGCGCGCGCAGGCGGCUAUCCAAGUCAGUGGUGAAAGCCCGGAGCUCAACCCCGGAACUGCCAUUGAAACUGUUUAGCUUGAGGACGAGAGAGGUGAGUGGAAUUCCCAGUGUAGAGGUGAAAUUCGUAGAUAUUGGGAAGAACACCGGUGGCGAAGGCGGCUCACUGGCUCGUAUCUGACGCUCAGGCGCGACAGCGUGGGGAUCAAACAGG